GGGAGUUUGGAAAGGUGAGGCGGUGGACAUUCUAUAAUGCAAGCGGAACAGAGUACGAAUGGCUACAACUCGAACAUCGACAGCAUGAUCUUAAGGAAGAGGAGCUGAAAGGAUGAAUAAGAGGCUUCCGGUGCUGCAGGGAUCUGACAGUGUGCAGCAGGACUGUGACCUUUUGACCCCCGCUGAAAGACAUCAGGACCGCACAGAUGGGAGGCACACCUUAGCCCCUGUAUGAUUCACUUUCGUUCUGAUUACUGCUUUAAUGUGGCGCAACAGCUCUUUUCCUGACCAGGUUCCUGUUUAGAGGUCUUCCUGUAAAUGUCAUGUGUUCCAUGAAUAAAUCGGACAUUAUGACUACGCAAUUGCA